rnacentral:rRNA from 1 species
AGUGAGCGCUGGCGGUAGGCCUAACACAUGCAAGUCGAACGGCAGCACAGUAAGAGCUUGCUCUUACGGGUGGCGAGUGGCGGACGGGUGAGGAAUACAUCGGAAUCUACUUUUUUGUGGGGGAUAACGUAGGGAAACUUACGCUAAUACCGCAUACGACCUACGGGUGAAAGCAGGGGAUCUUCGGACCUUGCGCGAUUGAAUGAGCCGAUGUCGGAUUAGCUAGUUGGCGGGGUAAAGGCCCACCAAGGCGACGAUCCGUAGCUGGUCUGAGAGGAUGAUCAGCCACACUGGAACUGAGACACGGUCCAGACUCCUACGGGAGGCAGCAGUGGGGAAUAUUGGACAAUGGGCGCAAGCCUGAUCCAGCCAUACCGCGUGGGUGAAGAAGGCCUUCGGGUUGUAAAGCCCUUUUGUUGGGAAAGAAAAGCAGCAGGCUAAUACCCCGCUGUUCUGACGGUACCCAAAGAAUAAGCACCGGCUAACUUCGUG